GAUGAACGCUGGCGGCAUGCCUAACACAUGCAAGUCGAACGAAGGCUUCUGCCUUAGUGGCGCACGGGUGCGUAACGCGUGGGAAUCUGCCUCUCUGUUCGCAAUAACAGUGAGAAAAGACUGCUAAUAGCGGAUGAUGACUUCGGUCCAAAGAUUUAUCACCGAGGGAUGAGCCCGCGUAGAAUUAGGUGGUUGGUGGGGUAAAGGCUUACCAAGCCGACGACCGUUAACUGGUCUGAGCGGAUGAUCAGCCACACUGGGACUGCGACACGGCCCAGACUCCGACGGGUGGCAGCAGUUGGGAAUAUUGGACGAUGGGCGAAAGCCUGAUCCAGCAACGCCGCGUGAGUGUUGCAGUCCUUAGGGUUGUAAAGCUCUUUUACCAGGGAUGAUAAUGACAGUACCUGGAGAAUAAGCUCCGGCUAACUCCGUGCCAGCCGCCGCCGUAA
rnacentral:rRNA from 1 species